CUGACGUUUCAGUGAAGCGGGUCAGUACCUGGCCUGGAUGUCCCUCAGGACACCAGGUUUACCUCAAGCCACUGAGUACACGAAAGAACGCCUAGCUCUGUAAUGAUGUAACACACCUUCCAUUCCGGCGUUCUUCUCCCUCAGAGAAUGCAGCUUUCCGAGACUGACAGCUGCACUGAAUUACUCAAAUGGCGUCUCUAUGCUGAACUGAUUCUUCUAGAAUAACUGGUCAACACACUCCCGUGCUGAGGUUACAGAAGUGUGCCACCAUUUCAGACUUUCUAUGUGGGUCUGAGGGAUUGAACUGAAGUUCCCUUGGCAAACUUUUUGUUAACAAUCAGCUCCACAACCACAGAUUAUUUUUAAACAGACUAGUUCUGUUCAUCUUUCUUUUUAGUACAAUUUUACUUGGAUGGAUUCUUUAACCCUGGAAAUUGAAACUACUUACUCAAAAUGCGUGAGGAUUUCCCUGUGUCAGUGAUCAUCAGAUAACAGGUCUCUUUGACAGUAUUUAUUUGUACUUGAGAUUGUCAAAUAUUCACUCUUACUUUUCAAAAUCUGUUCAUAUUUAUACUCGUUCUCAAAAUUAUUUUCAAAAAUUAAUGACUGUAAAUAAUUAUAAACAUUGUCCUUAUGCUUCCAUCUGCUGUGAAAUUUUGAAUUUUGUUUACUUUGGCCAGUAAUCAAUCUCAGGCUAGUGUGAUACUAUGAGUGGUUCUAGUUUACCUAGCCAUGUCUCUCUCCUCCAUGAAGUCAGCUUAGAGGCAGAAAAUUAUUAUUAUUUCAAUUAUGGUCUUUCACCUCAAUGAUAUGUAUUUCACAUUCAAAGUCACUUUUUUGUCAAAUAAAACUUAAUUACAUUUCAUUCAUAACAAAUUAUCUCCAUGAUAGUUUUAUUAGCAUCUUUCUGUAUUAAAAUCACAGCUUUCCAUUCUCAAAAUUUGGUAGGAAUUAUUUGUUUCUUUGAUAUUAUUUACUAUAUUGCAUUGAUAUUAUUCAAGUGGAUAUAUUUUUCAAUAUACAGUGUAGUAUAAUUUAUAUGUCUGAGAUUAGAUAAACAUGUGAUCAUCUGCAAAAUACAAUGGUUGUCAAUAAAAGCUCCAAAAAUACUAUACCUGUUUGCUGUAUUCUCACUUCUUAAUUUCAGGAUGAAUGUACCCUUUCUGUAGAUUUUACAAAAUCAGCCUCUGAAGCUUUACUGCACAGGUACACCUUUCCCACCACAUCAUUUUAAAUAGGAGGUCAGAAACUGUUGAGAACUGGCCAGACACAUUGUCUUACCUUUUAUAAAUUAGACCUAAAAUAAUCAGACAAAAUUUUGUAACUUGACCAUCAAAACUAUUAACAGCCUUAACUACAUUAUAUUUAUUCUCCAAGAAGUUACCCAGCAAAGAGUACCCUUGCACUUUUUAACAUUGCUACCCAAGAGUGAUAACAAACUGCAUAAGGAAGCAUUCCACUAAUACGAGAAGCUCCUGUAGCAAUAGACCCCAGCUAUGAUGGCAUCCAAGGUACAAGCUUCAUUAGGAGUUUGAAAUAGUCUCUUUCUAAAUAAUGGUUUAUGAAUGAUACAUAAUUGAUUUCAAAUGCAGCUUGGGGAAAAAAGUGUUUAUAUCAGCUCACAGGUAAUAGUAUCCCAUCAUAAGGUGAAACCCCUUAGGAGCUCAAGCAGAAACUGGAGGCAGAAACUAAAGCAGAAGCCAUGAAGGAACAAUGCUUACUAGUUUGCUCCCAUGGUCAAGUUAAUCUUUGUUAUACAGCCAAGUGGGAACCUAGGGAUGAUACUGCUUACAGUGGGCUGGGACCUCCUACUUCAAUUGUCACUGAGGAAACAGUACACAGAAACACUCAUGAGUGAAUGUAAUAGAGGUAAUUCUUCAAUUACAAUUCCUUAGAAAUAAUCAUUUUAAAGAAAUACAUUUAUCCAAAAUGAAAUCUAAAAUAAUAGUAUCUUAGUUACCCUUAAAUUGCAUAUAAUUGUGUUAAAUAAAACAGAAUGUUAAAUGUGAAGCUUUUAAUCACUUGGGAGGUAGAAGAUGGAGGAUCUCUGUAUUUGAGGCCAGCCUGGUCUACUUAUUGAUUUCCAUGACAUACAUAGUGAUA